GGCUACCACAUCCAAGGAAGGCAGCAGGCACGCAAAUUACCCAAUCCCAGUACUGGGAGGUAGUGACGAAAAAUAAGAAUGCGGGACUCUUUCGAGUCUGCGUAAUUGGAAUGAGCACACUUUAAAUCCUUUAGCAACAAACAAUUGGAGGGCAAGUCUGGUGCCAGCAGCCGCGGUAAUUCCAGCUCCAAUAGCGUAUAUUAAAGUUGUUGCGGUUAAAAAGCUCGUAGUUGGAGUUGAGUUGCGGACUGGAGUGGAAGGUGACCGCCCGGUGCUUUCCCUCUAGGCUCCGAACAGGUUCCUUUUGUGGGAGCCAAGCCGGUGUUUGGUGGGUGCUCUUUACCGAGUGUCUAUCGUGACCGGCCAGUUGACCUUGAAUAAAUGAGAGUGCUCAAAGCAGGCUACUCUUUGAUACAAUGCCCGAAUGUUAGCUGCAUGGAAUGAUGGAAGAUGAUUUGGGUUGCAUUUUGUUGGUGGUGGGAAGCCCAGUAAUGAUAAAGAGGGACUGUCGGGGGCAUCCGUACUACGACGCGAGAGGUGAAAUUG
rnacentral:rRNA from 2 species